ensembl:lncRNA
CUGUCUGACAGAAUCACUAAGUCAUCUCUAUAGAGCUGCUGUCUGACAGAAUCACUAAGUCAUCUCAUCUCUAUAGAGCUGCUGUCUGACAGAAUCACUAAGUCAUCUCUAUAGAGCUGCUGUCUGACAGAAUCACUAAGUCAUCUCUAUAGAGCUGCUGUCUGACAGAAUCACUAAGUCAUCUCAUCUCUAUAGAGCUGCUGUCUGACAGAAUCACUAAGUCAUCUCAUCUCUAUAGAGCUGCUGUCUGACAGAAUCACUAUGUCAUCUCUAUAGAGCUGCUGUCUGACAGAAUCACUAAGUCAUCUCUAUAGAGCUGCUGUCUGACAGAAUCACUAAGUCAUCUCUAUAGAGCUGCUGUCUGACAGAAUCACUAGGUCAUCUCAUCUCUAUAGAGCUGCUGUCUGACAGAAUCACUAAGUCAUCUCUAUAGAGCUGCUGUCUGACAGAAUCACUAGGUCAUCUCAUCUCUAUAGAGCUGCUGUCUGACAGAAUCACUAAGUCAUCUCUAUAGAGCUGCUGUCUGACAGAAUCACUAAGUCAUCUCAUCUCUAUUGAGCUGCUGUCUGACAGAUUCACUAAGUCAUCUCUAUAGAGCUGCUGUCUGACAGAAUCACUAAGUCAUCUCGUCUCUAUAGAGCUGCUGUCUGACAGAAUCACUAAGUCAUCUCAUCUCUAUAGAGCUGCUGUCUGACAGAAUCACUAAGUCAUCUCAUCUCUAUAGAGCUGCUGUCUGACAGAAUCACUAAGUCAUCUCAUCUCUAUAGAGCUGCUGUCUGACAGAAUCACUAAGUCAUCAUCUCGUCUCUAUAGAGCUGCUGUCUGACAACAUCACUAUUUUAGUCCUUUAAAGUCAAUAAGACCUUAAUGAUGGCUGAAUAGCAACUAUCAGUCACUUAGAUCAUGUAUUUUCAGGUAGAGAUACCUCGAAGCAGCUGCUCUCUCUCCCUCCUCUCCCUCUCCGUGUCUGCUCCACAGACCCGGACAAGUAGGCGCGCAAUGGAUUAUGGUCAUUGUAGUUCAUUACCACAAAGCCUGUUAGAAACGACAACUCCCUACUAAAUUGCACAGUUCGGGCUUAAUCUGGUUUAUCUCUAGAGAAACUGCACAUUGAGCUCACAGGGGGAAAAAUAUAAUGAAAUGGAGUUCAAACAAUUGAACCAACGUUGGUCAAUUACUUGUUUAAAAACCUAUUCAACAUUUUGGUUAAUCGCUUAGCACUAGUGAUAGAUGAAUCAGAACCUAAAGGUAACUGGGCCAUAGUGUGAUAGAUGAAUCAGAA